rnacentral:lncRNA from 1 species
AUUGAAAUUAUCUGGUUUACUUAAAAUGCAGUAAUAUGUACGUUUUUCUCCUGGGCCCCCAAACCUCAAAGACCUCAUUCUGGAAAGAACCUAGUUAACAAUAUGUGGUCUAAGUGGCCAUAACCACAAAGUGCCUAUUUGGCAGAAAACUCAUAAGCAGGUAGUCCUAUCUUGAGAAUCUAAUUCCACAUGCCUAACAGCAUACCCAAGAUCACUAUUACCUCCUACCCCUUCCAAAAUAACAACGUUCUCACCUCCCGAUCUGGAGUCUGGGUCCAAAUGAGAAAGCAUUGGCAAGCGUUUCCACGCAGGGAUAAGCACCCCCACGUCUUUCCAGCUUAGCUCUCCAAGCAGCUCUGGCAGUUAUCUCACUAGAAACCUUGGACUCAGACUCCGACCACGCCCACUCCUCCCGGUCCACCCAUGAUCCCAAAUCCCAUUGGUCACCCGCAUCAGGGUAGCCAUGCAACUCCCGCCCCCGCUCCGUAAUUGGUGAGGGUAAUUGCCGCUCCCAGUACGGCGGAGCUGGGCUCUCUCUCGGUCCACCGGCACCACCUGUUGCCCUUAAGUUAGAAAAGGCGGCGUUCUCGGAGGGAGCCAAGCAGCCGCUGCAGGUGAAGGGGAGCCUCCGGCGGUCAGGUAGCCGCCAGGCUGCCGGCUCCGUUCGGCCCGGCGCACCUGCAGCGCAGCCAGGGCGCCAAGCUGAGGCUCUCACAUCCGGGGCCCGCAGUCACCGCCAACGCGUUAACCCUUUGUCCGCAGGCCCGAGGGUGCCGGCUGUGACCGCGCGGGCCCCUAAGGUGCUAGAGAUUAGACCUGGCGCGCCCGCUAGGAUCUUGCACUGUCGAAAAGUCAGCUCCAAAAUUGCUGCAAUGAUAAGUUUGCUGAACUGCAUCUCUGCCCAAUGCCACUUCCUCGCAAAGACAACCCGCAGUGUAGUGCCCUGCUGCUUCCUUUGGCCUCUGUUGCUGGCUUAGCUGGGGGUAGCAGCUCAACUACUUCCUCCUGACUUCCAGCAGCUGUUCUGGUUUCUUUCCCAGCAUUCAUACUCCUCCGUGAAAGACUGUGAGGUGAGCAGUCAGGUAAAUACAUGCUUAACCAUUAGAGAAACUAAGAUCAAAAAGCAAUGAAGUGGUUCACCUAGUAUAUCUGGCCCUGUAAUAACAGUGGAGCCA